ACGCUGGCGGCAUGCCUCAUACAUGCAAGUCGAACGAGGUCUUCGGACCUAGUGGCGCACGGGUGAGUAACAUGUGGGAAUCUACCUGAAGGUUCGGAAUAACUGCGGGAAACUGUAGCUAAUACCGGAUGUGUCUGAAAAGAGAAAGAUUUAUCGCCUUCAGAUGAGCCCGCACUAGAUUAGCUAGUUGGUGAGGUAAUUGCUCCACCAAGGCUACGAUCUAUAGCUGAUUUGAGAGGAUGAUCAGCCACACUGGGACUGAGACACGGCCCAGACUCCUACGGGAGGCAGCAGUAGGGAAUAUUGGACAAUGGGGGAAACCCUGAUCCAGCAAUGCCGCGUGAGUGAAGAAGGCCUUCGGGUUGUAAAACUCUUUCAUCAAUGAUGAUAAUGACAUUAGUUGAAGAAGAAGCUCCGGCUAACUUCGUGCCAGCAGCCGCGGUAAUACGAAGGGGGCUAGCGUUGUUCGGAAUCACUGGGCGUAAAGCGUAUGUAGGCGGAUCAAAAAGUUAGAUGUGAAAUCCCUGGGCUCAACCCAGGAACUGCAUUUAAAACUAGUGAUCUAGAAUUUGGUAGGGGUUAGUAGAAUUUCCAGUGUAGAGGUGAAAUUCGUAGAUAUUGGAAAGAAUACCAGUGGCGAAGGCGACUAACUGGGCCAUUUUUGACGCUAAGAUACGAAAGCGUGGGUAGCAAACAGGAUUAGAUACCCUGGUAGUCCACGCAGUAAACGAUGAGUGCUAGUCGCUGGGACAAUAGUUUCAGUGUCGAAGCUAACGCAUUAAGCACUCCGCCUGGGAAGUACGGU
rnacentral:rRNA from 1 species